rnacentral:lncRNA from 1 species
CUCAGUGGCUAAUGCCCCUGAGUUCAAUCCCUGGUAUGUAUAAAUGAAAAGAUAGAUAGGGCUAGGAAUGUAGCUCAGUGGUAGAGACCUCUUCUGUUCGAUCCCCAAUACUGGAAAAAAAAUUAGCUGACCCUUCUUCAACCCUUCAUCAUUCUUCAAAGAUUUGAGCUGAUUUUAGAUUGAUUCAUUUGUUUUUUUCCUAAGCAAAUUUACCUACCUAGUAAUUACGUCUUUAUCCUUGAAAUACAUCUGUUCUUGCAUUUGAUAUAAACUCAUAAAAAUCAUCCAUAAAACUGAGCCCUGAUUGGAAUUUAAAGAAGUAUUAUUCAUUAUUGUGGGAUGUUCAUUAUUGUGGGAUGAAAAGUAUAACUCUGGGCAAUUAUUGCUUACACCUUUUUAUAAACACACAUAUACCUUCCAUUUUGUGAAAAUCCCUCCUCCCCACACCACCUUUUUUUUUAACUCUCUUUUUCUUAGAUAUCUUAAAACAAGCCUUUAAUUAGAUUGUACAUGUCUGCCAACAGAGAGAUAAACAGAAUCCGUUUUGAGUGAGGGGUCCUUAACCAUUUGUUCUGAUCUAUUCGGGCUGUAGACUGGGUUAAUUCAUAAAACAGAAACCUACUUCUCACAGUUUUGGAGCCUGGGAAGUCCAAGAUCAAGACUUCAUAGAUGGGACCUCCUAACUAUGCCCUCACAUGAUAGAAAGGGCCAAAAAACUU